rnacentral:lncRNA from 1 species
GCACGGAGACUUCCGCCAGGGGACGGCCCGAAUUCACGCCGCACGCUGCUCCGGCUCUUCCCGUGUAGAUGAAGAUCUUGAGGCACGGCUUGGAGGCGAAGAUGGAUCUGGAGGAUAAGCGAGCGACGUCGGAGCUGCUGAGGUGGAACGUGGCGGCUAGGGUUUGGAUCUCCGGGAACUGCGUGGCUUCCAAUGGAAUGUAGGGGACGGCUGCGGUCUGCGGCGGGAACUUUUUGAGUUUGAUUUUGCAGAAACAGGUGGAGGAAGAGGGGUGCACGACGGAGCUCGACGUCUUCGCCGCUUGAGGAGCUUUCAGAGCUAGGUUGUUGAUCGUGAGGCGGAUGAAAGGACAAGGAUCCAUUUACGGCGAAAAGAGAGAGAGAAGACUAAGGGUUUAGGGGGAGAGACAUUAACAUGGAAAGUAGAGAAUUAGACCAAAGAAAAACGAAGGUGACGAAUAAAACGCAGCGUUUUAAUGGCGCCGCUGGAUUUUAACGACCUAACCACCAGCGAACGCUGUUGUCUUCUUCGCUUUUUGUAUUGCCUCUGGUUCUUAAGUGGGGGCAAGUAGGAAGCUCGAGGUACAUUUUUUCCAUUUUUUGCAUUCCCUCCUUCCUUUCCUUUUAUUUUUUUCGAAAUUGUUCAAUACGUCCUUGUUUUCUCCGAACAUAUAAAGAUUAGCCCCGGAAUUAUUUCGUAGCUAUUUUGACCCCACUUUAUUGAAAGAAAGAAAUUACACACCUUGCCCCAAAUGAUAAAAAUGAUAAAUAACGAAAAAUUAUAAUCAGAAUUAUUUUGAUAAAGUAUAAUCAGAAUUAUUUUGAUUAAGUAUUAUGUAAAAUAUUGACUGCACAUUACUUAUGUAUUCGCAUUAUAAAUUUAUGAUUAUAUACAUACAUAAAAAUCAAACAAGAUAAAUUUUAUUAUUAUAUUUGUAAAAAGAUUGGUAUUAGGUCAGAAUUUUAGUGAUCUCCUUUGGAAUAUGCUCGGUUAGAUCAGUAAAAUGACUGCUAAAGCAUAAAGUAUAUUACAAGCAGCCUCAAAAUUGGGCUAAAUAUAUGAAAUCAAAACAAUGAUGUCGAUUAGCUAACAUUGUUACAAUGUGACACUUGUUUUGUAAAUUUUCAUUUAAAGUUUUAAACAAUUUCUUUUAAGAGUUUUAAAUGUGUACGAAUAAAAGGGUAAAUCCGAAAUAUAGAGUUAGUUGAGGGGUAGAGAGAAAAGGCAUUGGAGCACAGCUGGGAACAGGCUGGCAAGAGAUGCCAGCUAGGAUUAGAGGUUGACGCCGGUGUCGUCUCUCUCUCUCUCUCUUUGAGUCUUGACUUUCUCUCUCUACCUGAUCAGUGAGUGACCAACCACACAAAACGUUGGCCCCACUUCUUUUAAUUUUACGAAAGCACCCUUAAUGGCUUACGUGUACGUUCGCGGCUCUCUGUGCAUUGAUCGGGGGAAUCUUUCGGCCUCUAUGCGGAGCUCACGUUUUUGUGUCAGUCACAUAGCUUUUUUAUAUGUUUGUUUUGUUGUUAUGGGCCGCACCAAUGAACGUCCAAAUCAUGUUUAUUUCAUAGUCGUUCGUUAACUCUCAACUCAUCCAAGGCUCAACUCCAAUGCAAACCAAAAAUCAAAUUAAAUACUGGGUAAAACACCAUAGCAAAAAAUAGUUCUUUUUUUUGGCAAAAUGUUAAAUAUAGCAAAAAUAGUUUAACGUAGUUUGCUGUUGAAGCACAGUUAUAAACAAAAAGAAUGCCUUUGUCCUCGACUGAGUCCAGAUGUUACUAAAUUCAAAAGAAGAAAACAAGGGAGCAAAAUCCAGCUAUCAUCCACGAUCCUCGUUCAGCAUAAAGUAAUAAACUAAUCUAACCAAUAAAUAGUUAAUUGAAUCUAGUGUAAUCGUAAACGUGCACGCAUAUCUCUCGCCCAAUCCCCAAACAAUUACUACUAUACUACUUUAAUCCAUAUAUUAUUAAAAAGAUACGAAAUGAUUAUAAAAAUGGAAGAAGAAGAAGCUCAGCAAUUUUGAUCAAAAAAAAAAAAAAGAAGAAGCUCAGCAAUUUGUUUAAGAAAAGAAUGAGGAGUUUUCCUUUGCAGUAGAAUAAAAGUGUGACUGACUAUUUGAUGUGAUUUUUUAAAAGGACGGUUUCCUCGGAAGUGUAAACACGUUUGAAAUUUCAUAUACAAAUGUAAUAAAGUUUCGUUGGUUCAAAAAUUCAGGAGAGUGGGUCUUUGUGGAGAAGUUUCGAUUCAAAAAUGUUUUUUUUUUUCAAAAUGACCAAGGGAACAAGUCCUUGUGGUGUGAAGUUUAAAAGAGUAGUAUCAUUUUUUCUCAUGUGUUACAUGAACAACGUGAACUCCUUACACUGACCAUAAACAUUGUAUGCAUGUAGUAAAAAUCUGUAACCAUUGUAUUUCAUACAUAAGCAAAACACGAGAGAAUGUAACUUCAUAUUUAAUAUUUUCUAUUAUGUUUCAUACGACUGCUAUAGUGAUCUUGCAAACAACAACGGUGUUCUGGUUCUUGGAACAUCACGAGAUAAGAUGUAAUUACCAAAGCAUACAUACAAGAUGAGCUCUUAAAGCUGUGGCCCUUCGCUUUAUGAUUGCUUGAGCUAUGAGGUAAACAAUGGAAGAUCUACCUAUUUUUGGCUAGAUAAUUGGUUGGGAACAGGAAGGCUGUUGAACGAAACAGGAGAGUCUGGUGUAUGGUACUUGGGGAUCCCUCGCUCCGCUACCAUCUCUGAUGUGGUUUGUGAGUCUGGUUGGAAGAUCCGUGCAAGAGGGCAACGACGGUUCCCUGAAGUUUAUGAAAAACUAAAUGCAAGGCAGGUGCUUAACCACGAUUCUGGGGAGGACAUUGUGCUCUGGAGAGCAGGUCCUGACGAGUUCAAAGCCUCUUUCUCCUCUGUUAAGACCUGGAAUUAUCUGCGAGACAAAAGAGCUGAGGUUGCGUGGAGGAGGUUGGUUUGGUUUUCUCAGGCAGUACCACGACAUGCAUUUAUGGCAGGGUUUGUAUUUAGAGAUCGACUGUCUACUGGAGAUAGAACAAAGAGUUGGGGUAUUGAGCAGUAUUAUAUGCUUUGUGGAAAGAAGAAUGAGACCACGGACCACAUGUUCUUUGCUUGUCCGUACUCGUUCAAUGUAUGGAUGAACACAGCAGGAAGGCUCCUUGGAAGCGCCAUAAUGCCUGACUGGACUGAUACCGUCGCAUCUCUUAUGCUUCCCUGCUCGUACCGACAUGAUCAUGUCCUUUAGAGGAUGGUGUUUCAGACAGUCCUUUACUCUGUGUGGAAAGAACGUAACUCGCGAAGGCAUGGAUGCGUCUAGGUCACGACGGAGAAGAUCAUCCGUACCAUUGAUAAGCAGAUUAGGAACCGGAUCUCAUCUCUUCGCUAUGCUAACGAUCAUCAGUUAGAGGGAGUAAUGAGAAGAUGGUUUGAGGUGUCCUAGCCAUUAGAGGGGAAGUUCAAUUCAUUCUUUUUAUUCAUUCAUAGAUGUUUAGAGUACAUAACUGCCUACUUGUAAAUGCGUUAUUCUGAUCAAUAAAUUUGAUAUUUAAUCAAAAAAAAAAGAGAACCACAUAAGUAUGAAUUAUUUGUUUGUUCUCCAAAAUAAAAUAGUGAAAAAAAAAACAUUUUUAAAUAAAUGAAUUCAGUGAUGACAAAUUGAAUAAAAACAAAAUAAAGGGGGAAGCGCAUCUGAAGAUCAAAGCACAAGUCAGUUAACGAAGUAAGAGAAGAGAAGAGGAAGAUGAAGGCGUUAGGGUAUUGGCUGAUGGUGGUUGGUUCGCUGAGAUUAGCUUCGGUUUGGUUCGGUUUCUUCAACAUUUGGGCUCUUCGUCUCGCCGUCUUCUCCCAGACCACCAGUUCUGUUCUCUCCUCCCUCCCUUUUAUAAUUGUUCUCAAUCGAUUAUUUCAAUGUCUUCUGAUCAUAGUAGAUAAUUAAUGUUCACAUACGAAUCUAUAGUAUACUUGAGAGAUUUGUUCUGUCCAAUUGACUUCUUAGUCUCUGAGUUUCUAGUCAUAAUUGGUCAGUGGCGGCUAUGGAGGGGCCAUGUAAUGUGUGUUUAGUGGAGAAAUGAUUAUGUCUCGUUCGGAGUAACACAUUGUGGAUCUGAUUUGUGCGUGAAAGUUUAGGUUUUUUCGGUUUCUGUGACUUAGGCAGAUGGCAUUGUGUCUUUCAAUACGGUUCCAAUUUGGGAUCCCUAAGCUCUAAUACAUUGAAAAUUAGUGAAGAGCUAGUACAUUGCAUUGUUAGAUCAAUGGGGUUUGUAGUUCACGAGUCAACUAAGAAGGAAAGUCUGAUUCUUUGAACGUAUUCACGGAUCUUUUCAGCUGCUUUUUUUUUUUUUUCAUGUUUAUUUAAUUGCAAAGUUGAGGUAAUAGUUUGGAUUGAAAGCAACACAUGCUCAGAUUCACUAUUAGCUUCAGGGCUCGAGCAAAGAGUGUAUUUUAUCCUUUAGACUAAAAAAGGCGGGGUGUCAUUUUUUGUUUUAUCCUUUUUUAUGCCUUCAAGAUUGGUCUUCCUUUCAAGUGGAGAUUAUAUAAAUUUAUAGCUUAUCUUUGUUUCUGACCUGAUAAAUUUAUUCCAGCUUUUAGGAAGCUAUAUUGAUGAUGUCAAUGGUUGAGUAUGAUAGCUGUUUUAAAUCUGUUAGAUCUAUGCAAAGUUGUAGGAUUCUUAAUAAAUCAAAGAGUUUAACCGAUGUAGUAAAUUUAUAGACAACAAUAUUUGUGUCAGGUCUAUAUUUCUCAGUGGAUCACGUUCAUUGAAUCUCUGCGACUAUGGACCUUUAUGAGAAAGGUUCAGUUUCCUGAGAAAGCUUAGUGCUUGAAUUUUUUGGACUGAAUUUGUAGGAAAGAGAGAUUAGUGAGAUAAGAAUAGCAAACCGGAGCAACAUAUCCAGGAAAGAUAUAUAAUUCCUUGGUGAUGGAACUUUUGUAGGAAGUGGACCACCAUGCUUAGAAAUCAGGAAGGGGGAAAGUAUUUGGAUAUAGAAUUGGUUAUACAUAGUCCAAUGCAUAACCUUUUUUGUAGGAUCAAUAUGGCGACUCUUUCUUAAAAUAAUGUUGAAGUGAAUCAAUGACCAGGUAAAGUGUAUUAGAUGCUGUAGAUGAUUAGAACAGAAGCAACUUGAUUUUUUUGGUUUCCUUUUGUGAUUUGUGGUGCGUGAUUUCGGCAAAGGGAUUGUUAUGGAACAUUGUUUAGUUUUUUUUCCUGUGAUUGUAAUAAGGUCACCAAAGUGUUUAGUUUAAUGAUUCUGGUAACAAUAAAAAGUUGUUAUAAUUUUGCUUCAUAUGAGCAAAUGGAAAAAGUUGUUAUCCGGAAAACUAAUUCACAUGGUUAGGUUUCCUCAGGUGAUGGCUCCUGAUGGUUUACAGUAAUAGUCCCGUCCUCAUGACUCAAGAUGUUCUUUCGUCUGUUUUAACUGUUUUGCAGUGAGUGAAGUACAUGGACGUACGUUCGGAGUAUGGACCCUCUUGACCUGCACUCUCUGCUUUCUUUGUGCAUUCAACCCCGAAAACAAACCGUUAUACUUGGCUACGUUUCUCUCAUUCAUCUACGCCUUAGGCCAUUUUCUGACUGAGUACCUCUUCUACCAUACAAUGACCGUCGCCAAUCUCUCAACCGUGGCCUUCUUCGCAGGUAUGGUUUGUGGCAAUCACCAGACAUUACAUAACCCACUCUUGUAUUCAGCCAAGUCAGUUAAUGUAGGUUGCAUUGCAUUCAUUGUGUGCAUGAUCCUCAUACUGCGCUGUUUUAAAUGUAUGUAACAGGCACGUCGAUUGUGUGGAUGCUCUGGGAGUGGAGUUCCCUUGAACAACCGCACUCCAAACUUUCUUGAUUUUUUUUUCUUUUCAAGAAGACAUGUAACUGAUUCUUUCUUCUUUGAAACCUUUUUUAAGUUGGAAUCAUCUCCGGCUUUUUGCUCGGAUUCCUAGAAUUGUUGUGAUCUAUAUUUCAUCUUCCCAUCUUUGAUAGUCUCAAGGAGAGUUGUAGGACUUGUUAUCUUCUAAUAAACUAUGACUCGAAUUUGUCAAUCAUUUAUUGUAUGACAUCUGCUACAGCUGAAUUGAUUGUUUUCACUUGUAAUUUUUUCCAAAUUUGAGCAUGAAUGACUAAUGGUAUUAUGAUGAUGAACACUUGCCUGAAUGGCAUUGUGAGCGAUAAAUAUUUACACGAUUCCUCUAAAACUAGCAUCAAGUUUUAGAGGUUGUUACACAGUGGAAGUUGUUAGUUGGGAGAGUAGUCAUGUGAAGAACUUUGUUGUUGUUGUUUUUUUUGUUUUUCUGAUAGGGCAUUAAAAAACUUUGUAGAUCUUUGUAUUUAAUUAAUGCUUACCUUUUUCAAAAAGUAAAUAAUUUCUUAGAAUAAUUUGAACAUUAAUAUACCAAACAAGUCGUGUAGAUACUUUUUAAAAAUCGAAUUCAUUCUUUUUUAGUCCAAACUACUUCAUAUAAUUUAGCUUACCAAUGUUAUAAAAAAAAAGCUUACCAAUAAAUAAUACUAUAUAAUUUAACUAAGCUUACACCUUAAUAUCUUCGCUUUUUACAUUUUUCAUAAACAGAAAUAUAAAUAUAUAUUUUUAAUUUCAGAUUUCGAUUAUGAAUUUUUUGUAACUAAUCUAAUAAACAGAUACAAAAAUAUGUGAAUAAAAUCAGAGAGUAUCCGUAAUUUCUGUAAUAUCAUUUUCAUAAUUUCAAUAAUAUUUGAAAUUAGUUUAUUCAUUUAUAAAAUUUAUAGCAUAAUAUUGUUUUAAACAUUUGUUGUUAUAUUUCUAAUUAUUUAAUAAAUAAAAAUAAAGACCACAAAAUAAUCAAUAUUACAGCAUAUAAAUUAAGAUUAACCCUUAAACUUGCACAAUAUUUACAAUCCAAUGCCACUGAAAAUUAAAUAAACGUAUAUUUAAUUAAUGCUUGUCUUUUUCAAAAAGUAAAUAAUUUCUUAGAAUAAUUUGAACAUUAAUAUACCAAACAAGUCGUGUAGAUACUUUUUAAAAAUCGAAUUCAUUCUUUUUUAGUCCAAACUACUUCAUAUAAUUUAGCUUACCAAUGUUACAAAAAAAAUUUAGCUUACCAAUAAAUAAUACUAUAUAAUUUAACUAAGCUUACACCUUAAUAUCUUCAUUUUUUACAUUUUUUCAUAAACAGAAAUAUAAAUAUAUAUUUUNNNNNNNNNNNNNNNNNNNNNNNNNNNNNNNNNNNNNNNNNNNNNNNNNNNNNNNNNNNNNNNNNNNNNNNNNNNNNNNNNNNNNNNNNNNNNNNNNNNNUACAAUGAAAUCCUUGGACACACUCCACAAUCCCUCGGCGGUUGAGUCCGGUAACGCCGCUGUGAAGAACGUCGACGAUGAUGGUCGAGAGAAGAGAACGGGGACGUUUCUGACGGCGAGUGCGCACAUUAUCACGGCGGUGAUAGGCUCAGGAGUGUUGUCUUUGGCUUGGGCAUUAGCACAGCUUGGUUGGGUGGCUGGAACCAUGAUUUUGGUGAUUUUCGCCAUCAUCACUUACUACACCUCUACUUUGCUCGCCGAUUGCUACAGAGCGCCGGACCCCAUCACCAGAACACGCAACUACACGUACAUGGGCGUCGUUCGAGCUUACCUUGGUAUGCAAUUUAUUAUUAUUCUUUAAAUCAUUUUUAUCAGCAUUAUUCAAGAUUUUUUCAGUUUUAUAUAGAAUUAUGUUUCUGAUCAACAAUUUAGUCUACUGAUAUUAAUAAUUUUUGGUAUUAUAUGGUAAAAAUAUUCUUGUGAAGAUAUUUUUUUUAUCUUUUCCAAUUUUUUUCAUAAGAUGGUCCCAGGAACAAAUUAAGAUCAAAGCAAUGUUUUCUUGCAAGAUCAAAGUAAUCAACCAUUUUUAGUGUAUCCUAUCUUUUGAGGAAUAUUAUUUUGUGGUUCUAAAUUUUUUAUUUUGAAAAUUAUGCAUGCUCUUCUUGGGAAGAUAUAUGAGUUAAUUAUCAAAAUCUACAAAAAGAUAAAAUAAUUAUGAAAUUUAUCUUCUUUCCAAAAUUACUUGAUGAACUGAAUUGACUAGUGUAGGAUUAUCAUUAAAGAAUACUAUCAUUAAAUUUGAUUGUUGGUCUCCCAAAAAAAAUUGAAUUCAAAAUGAGAGAUGGAUCCAAACUUAUCCACAAAGACAAAAGAUUAUCCGACUUUUUAACAUCAAAGGAUUAAUAACAAUAUACAAUUUCGAUGCUUAAGUCCUGCUUCUUGUAAUCGCUGCUGUUGAUUGACAAAAACAAAGACUCCUAUGUAAUUUAGAAGAGUAACUAAGUUUUAGAAUACUCCAUAACAUAAAACUACAGGUGGUAAAAAGGUGCAGCUAUGUGGACUAGCACAGUACGGCAACCUCGUUGGGGUCUCUAUUGGUUACACCAUCACUGCCUCCAUAAGCUUAGUGUAAGUCGUUACACAACUGAUAACUUAUUUCGGUUACAAUUUUUGUGAUGGUAACUAAAACAUGUGUGUUCUGUUGCUUUGGUUAGAGCGAUUGGGAAAGCAAAUUGUUUUCAUGGUAAGGGACAUGGUGCGAAAUGUACCGCAUCGAAUUAUCCAUACAUGGGGGCAUUUGGCGGCCUCCAGAUUCUUCUAAGUCAGAUUCCUAAUUUUCACAAGCUAUCUUUCCUCUCAAUCAUUGCCGCGGUUAUGUCCUUCUCUUAUGCAUCUAUUGGUAUCGGUCUGGCCAUCGCCAAAGUGGCAAGUACGGUUUCAUUUCCUUUAUUCAACGUUUAAAUGUUUACAUGAAUCUUCAAUGUUCGAUCGAGCUAACGGUGGAAGUGGUAUAAUUAUGUGGAAGGUGGGAAGGUUGGUAAGACAACACUGACAGGUACGGUGAUAGGAGUGGACGUAUCUGCGUCUGAUAAAGUGUGGAAAGCGUUUCAAGCGGUUGGGGAUAUUGCGUUUUCGUACGCUUACACCACUAUUCUCAUUGAGAUACAGGUAUGUACUACUUUCUUCUAUCGUUCUUUGAAUAUUUGCAUUUACAUAGUAGUCAUAUAUAUGAUGUAUUAGUUAGUGUAUGGAUCUAUUAAUGUUUUUUUUUUGCUCUUAGAAGUAAUCUCUAACUACCGAUUAUGGAUAUAUUAGUUAGAGAAUAUGGAUCUACUACCACUUCUAUUCUCUCUUUCACCAAAAAGGGAUAAAGAAGAAGGUGGCAUUUACCUUGAAGAUAAGAUGUUACUAUCAACUAGAGUAUUAGCCUAGUAGGCAUGCAUCUACAAAAAGGCUUGAUGGAUUUUUUAAUUAUAUAUGUGAAGCUCUAAAGAUACUGAAGCUCAAAUAUGUUUUUAUUUUUUUUCUUUGUUGCAGGACACAUUGAGAUCAAGCCCACCAGAGAACAAAGUGAUGAAGAAAGCAAGUCUUAUUGGAGUCUCAACCACAACUGUUUUCUACCUCUUAUGUGGUUGCAUUGGGUAUGCUGCAUUCGGAAACUUAUCCCCUGGUGACUUCCUUACCGACUUUGGGUUUUACGAACCUUUCUGGCUCGUCAUUUUCGCCAAUGUUUGCAUUGCUGUCCAUUUAGUAGGUGCCUAUCAGGUAAUUGUAGCAUUAACAAUUAUAUCUCUUAAAGUAAACCUAUCAUUGACAAACAAACAUGAGAACGUAGCACACAUUUAAAAAGCAAAAACAGCUAAUUAUCACAACACACUUGUAAUCUUCUUAAAUAUUCUUGUGUUAUCCUCUGUUUUAGAAAUUUAGAUUAAUAGUCGAAAUUAGUAGAAAUAGAGUUAGUUUGGUUUAAAAUAUAAUCAUUUUAAUGAUAUCUUCUUAAUCCUAGUUUAAUAUCAUUUGCAGGUAUAUGUUCAGCCUUUUUUCCAGUUUGUUGAGAGCAAAUGUAACAAAAAGUGGCCUGAAAGCAAUUUCAUCAACAAAGAAUACUCGUUGAAGAUACCAUUGCUCGGAAAAUUUCGUGUCAACUUCUUCAGGCUGGUGUGGAGGACAAACUAUGUGAUUUUGACAACAUUUAUUGCAAUGAUAUUCCCCUUCUUCAACUCCAUCUUGGGUUUGCUUGGGGCACUUGCGUUCUGGCCGUUAACAGUUUAUUUUCCUGUGGCAAUGCACAUUGCUCAGACAAAGGUUAAGAAGUAUUCGGGUAGAUGGUUGGCGCUGAACCUCCUCGUGCUGGUUUGCUUGAUUGUCUCCGCCCUAGCUGCUGUGGGAUCCAUUGUUGGCCUAAUCAAUAAUGUCAAGAAAUACAAGCCUUUCGAGAGUAUAGACUAAGUUACUUAUGCUGAUCUAUUUUAGAUAAGAACUAUAUAUUAUUUCUUUCCAGCAAAGUAUUUUAGCUAAAGAAUAAUGUUGUAAACGUAUUAUGCUAUUAUGUUUUGUUUUAUGAUAAAGAUGAAAACAAAUGCUAAUGGAUCUAUUAGUAAAUCGUAUGAAAAUCGUUAAUUUUUAGGAAUACAAGGGGGAACUAGAAACAUAUGCAUCUGUGACUAUAACACAACAACACAUGACAAUACUAAUAACUUUUUUUUUGAACAACUACAAUACAAAUAAAUAACUAACAACAUAAUAGAACUGGAAUCCACAUGACCACGGAUAGAAACAGUACAAUUCUGCAAAACAAAGACAGUACUACCUAGCACAAAAAAAGAACACAGUACUACACUACAUGCCAUUAAAUCGCAUCGCAUCAUCGUACAUGCUUUUUCUUAGUUAUCUCUACCACCCAGAAUCAGAAUCCACAGUUUCUCUAUAUAUACAUUAAUGAAUUCAGAAGACAAAAAUCUCUAGCAACAAGACAAGUAGCCUCGUAAUUACACAAGUGUUCCAAUGUCUGAAAAGGAUGAAAGAUUAAGGGUGUCGAAAAUGAUAGUGUCAAGAAGAUGGGUUUUCAACCCAAACAUUUCGUUUUUCAUGAUUACAAGUGUAGCAUGCUCCUCUUCUCAAACAAGCAAUACCAAACUAACUUCAUCUGUAACCAACUAAAGUUGAUUAUCAGAACAUAUCAUGGACGUUGAACAAAGGAAACAAAGGAGCAACAAUCUCAUGUUUGUUUUACAUUCAGAAAUUCCAAAAUGAUUUUAAUCUAAUUUAUACAGUUACAUAACCAAAUCAAAGGCAAAAGAAGAGUGACAAAGAAACUCACUCUUCAUCUCACUCAUAAGAUCCCAAACCCAAAAUAAAAAAGGUGAAAAGCCAAUACGAAACCUCACACUCCAAAACAAGAAACUCACUAUAUACAUCCUAUUUUGUUAACGCCUUUAGAAGAUUUUUUUUCAAAAAGAAAAUACUCCCAAGGCCAUUUUUUGUGACUAAAAUUUCAGAACCGUAAAAAACAAAAAUUCAACCUUAUUUCUUUUUUCUUCAGCCGAGUGACGACUCACUGCAAAGCUCUUUCCUCAUCCGCUGAUUAAACAACCUGCAAGCAUCCAUACUCAGAUCAAUCGCUGCAGAAAGCGCCACGUAAGCAGCUGCAUCCUCCAUGCAGCUAACGUGCUGCACACUAACCUCCACACACGGCUUACUACAUUUCCCUUCACCUUCCACACUCGCUGACAUCACAAACCCUUUAUACCCACUCCCCACCCACACCCCGUAUCCAUAGUCCCCGCUCCCUCCUCUCGGACUACUCGCCGGCGACGUACCUCCGCUGCUUCCACCGCUACGUCUUCUCGUUCUGCUCACGCUACCCGCUGUUGGCGACGACCCCAGCUCGAUCGAGAACUUCCCACCUCUGUGGGAACUAAUACUCGACUCCGUAAGCACGAUUCCCGCGCCGCUUGAUCCGUCUGGGAUGAGCUCGAACCUGUAGCCAAGCCCGUCGGUGGCUCCACCGCGUUCCCGCCACGCCUCUAGUCUCCCCCACGGCUUCCACGUGCCGUCUCCGGGACGGAGGAUGAGCCAAGAACCAGGGUUUGACCGGCUCACACGGUCACUUCCAGGAGACGCAACGAAGGGAGUGACGAUAGACGCCAUAGCCACUGGAGAACCUGACAAAUCAUGGACCGUUAUGGACCAUCCUUUUCGCUCUUUCCCGGGACGUUCUCUCUCGCUCCCGAACGAGUUUAGCCAGCUCCGUGGAACGCUUGUCUCCGGCGGCAACGAUCUGAUCAAGAAAGAAACAUAUACAAAUAGUAAGUUUCAAAAAAAAGAAAAAAAAAAGUAAUUAAAUAUCCUAAAGAGUAAAGUUUUCAAUAAAUCCAGGAAUGUGAUAACAAUAAUCUAAGGCGUUCGAUCUUAUGUUAAAGCGCAUUUCGAUUUGAUUUGAUUCCUCGGGGAAAAUAAAUAAAUUUUAAAUUAUUAAAAAGCGAUUGGAUCUGGAGGAUAAGCGAGCGACGUCGGAGCUGCUGAGGUGGAACGUGGCGGCUAGGGUUUGGAUCUCCGGGAACUGCGUGGCUUCCAAUGGAAUGUAGGGGACGGCUGCGGUCUGCGGCGGGAACUUUUUGAGUUUGAUUUUGCAGAAACAGGUGGAGGAAGAGGGGUGCACGACGGAGCUCGACG